GCACCUAAAUCUUUCCCAUGUCUUGCUGCUGGUGCUGGCCUGGGGACAGACGGUGCUACAUUACCAGCAGAGGAAAUCCAGACAGGUCAUGACCAUUUGUCUUGGGGCCUGUCUCUACAGCUCUGCCACAUUU